rnacentral:rRNA from 1 species
UGGAAACUNUCUGACUUGAGUGCAGAAGGGGAGAGUGGAAUUCCAUGUGUAGCGGUGAAAUGCGUAGAUAUAUGGAGGAACACCAGUGGCGAAAGCGGCUCUCUGNUCUGUCACUGACGCUGAGGCUCGAAAGCGUGGGUAGCGAACAGGAUUAGAUACCCUGGUAGUCCACGCCGUAAACGAUGAGUGCUAGGUGUUAGGCCCUUUCCGGGGCUUAGUGCCGGAGCUAACGCAAUAAGCACUCCGCCUGGGGAGUACGACCGCAAGGUUGAAACUCAAAGGAAUUGACGGGGGCCCGCACAAGCGGUGGAGCAUGUGGUUUAAUUCGAAGCAACGCGAAGAACCUUACCAGGUCUUGACAUCCCGAUGCUAUUCUUAGAGAUAGGAAGUUACUUCGGUACAUCGGAGACAGGUGGUGCAUGGUUGUCGUCAGCUCGUGUCGUGAGAUGUUGGGUUAAGUCCCGCAACGAGCGCAACCCUUAUUGUUAGUUGCCAUCAUUAAGUUGGGCACUCUAGCGAGACUGCCGGUAAUAAACCGGAGGAAGGUGGGGAUGACGUCAAAUCAUCAUGCCCCUUAUGACCUGGGCUACACACGUGCUACAAUGGUCGGUACAACGAGUUGCGAGCCGGUGACGGCAAGCCAAUCUCUGAAAGCCGAUCUCAGUUCGGAUUGGAGGCUGCAACUCGCCUCCAUGAAGUCGGAAUCGCUAGUAAUCGCGGAUCAGCACGCCGCGGUGAAUACGUUCCCGGGCCUUGUACACACCGCCCGUCACACCACGAGAGUUUGUAACACCCGAAGUCGGUGAGGUAACCUUUUAGGGGC